GCUGGCGGUGCGCCUUAUGCAUGCAAGUCGAGCGAAGCUUUUCAGUAGUUUACUACAGAAAAUGACUGAGCGGCGAACGGGUGAGUAACGCGUGAGCAAUCUACCUUAGUUACAGGGAUAGCCCGAGGAAACUCGGAUUAAUACCUGAUAUUCUUUAUUUCUCGCAUGAGAAUAAAAGGAAAGGUCAGCCGAACUAAGAUGAGCUCGCGUUCUAUCAGCUAGUUGGUGAGGUAAAAGCUUACCAAGGCUACGACGGAUAGCUGGUCUGAGAGGACGAUCAGCCACACUGGGACUGAGACACGGCCCAGACUCCUACGGGAGGCUGCAGCAGGGAAUAUUGUGCAAUGAACGAAAGUUUGACACAGCGACACCGCGUGUGGGAUGACGGAUCUAGGUUUGUAAACCACUUUCAGGAGGGAAGAAAAUGACGGUACCUCCACAAGAAGCCCCGGCCAACUACGUGCCAGCAGCCGCGGUAAUACGUAGGGGGCCGAGCGUUGUCCGGAUUUAUUGGGCGUAAAGAGCUCGUAGGCGGUUCAACAAGUCGGUCGUGAAAGUUCAGGGCUCAACCCUGAAAUGUCGAUCGAUACUGUUGUGACUAGGAUACGGUAGAGGUGAGUGGAAUUCCGAGUGUAGCGGUGAAAUGCGUAGAUAUUCG
rnacentral:rRNA from 1 species